GGCCAUAUCACGUUGAAACACCAGCUCCCGUAUGAUCACCGAUGUUAAGUAUCGUCGAACCUGGUCAAUAUCUAGAUGGGUGACGGCUAGGGAAUACCAGGUGCUGCAUGC